UGCGGAGUAGAGCAGUCUGGUAGCUCGUGAGGCUCAUAACCUCAAGGACAUUGGUUCGAAUCCAGUCUCCGCUA
rnacentral:tRNA from 1 species